rnacentral:misc_RNA from 1 species
UCAUUGACGCCAUUCAGCCAG